rnacentral:misc_RNA from 1 species
AAGUCGUAACAAGGUAACCGUAGGUGAACCUGCGGUUGGAUCAUUAUUGAAAUGUAUCUACUCUAGGUAGGCUCAUUCGAGUGUACCUAUCUACCUAAAUGUCAACUAUUAUGUCACGGUGGGUUUAUCGGAUGGUGAGUGGUGGUGUGUGGUGGUGGUAGUAAUACCUAGUACUGCUACUACUGGUAGUAAUACCUAGUACCCCACUUGAAACACUCGAUAAAACCCCCCCAUUAUAUAAACGUCUUCUCCAGUCAAUCCUCUUUUCUUUAAAAAAGAAAAAACAACUUUUGACAAUGGAUCUCUUGGCUCUC